AAUGAAGGAAUUGCUUGGACAACACUUAAUACUUUAACUAUUAUCAACGCAUACUUUGGUUUGGAUUUAUUCCUAGGUCUUUUCCAUUUGGUGGUACACAGAGCUCAGGCGUUGAAGAGAUUGUGCAUCAAGUUCCCUCCGACACCCAAAAGCCUCUGCCAUAUGCUCGCAGGCACUUUUUGUUUCCUCCCUGAGUAUUGAAGAAUAUAAUGAUCGUGUAAUGGCAGUAUUAUGCUGUGAAGCACAAGGAUGUUCUUUGCUGGGAAAGAAUAUCAUCUCUGGUAAAACAUGGA